GAAUCUAACUUUCUUGGAGGUUAAUGUAAGACAUUCACAUUGGAAUGAAGGUCCUGAUGACAAAGGCUUUUGGUCUUUUCACGGAAUUGUACAACUGAACAAGAAAAGGCUUCUUGGAGGCAAAGAUGGAUGCAGACGACUCCAAUGCAACAAGAAGAAAAUGCAGCUAUCAAUAAUUAAUUGUAUAUCUUAGUGAAGACCCUGAAAAGGUAGUGAAGGAGUACAAUCCCUGAUGAGACCCAGAGGGCUAUGAAUCAGAUGGCCAUGGCAAUGUAUGUCAUUAAACAUAGAGGCGCAGAAUUUGAUCAGCUCCCAGAAGAAGUUUGCAUAAUUCUUGAAGGUGUCCAGGUGCUAAAUGGACUGACAGAUUUUACCAAUGGCUGUGCAUUGCUUUUUGGGAACUAUUUACGGCCUGAAUUUGAGCUAUUCGUCUGACCUCAGGUACUAUUUUAAAU